rnacentral:misc_RNA from 1 species
CGCACAUUGCGCCCCUUGGUAUUCCUUGGGGCAUGCCUGUUCGAGCGUCAUCUACACCCUCAAGCUCAGCUUGGUGAUGGGCGACUGUCCCCCCGCGGACUCGCCUCAAACGCAUCUGGCGGCUGGGCCGGCGGCUUCUCCUGCAGCACAUUUGCAGCGCGAGGCGCGCGGCUCCGGCGAACCACAAGCCCCUUUCUCAGUUUUGACCUCGGAUCAGGUAGGGAUACCCGCUGAACUUAA